UACGUAGGGACCAAGCGUUGUUCGGAUUUACUGGGCGUAAAGAGCGCGUAGGCGGCAAUUCAAGUCAUCUGUGAAAUCUCCGGGCUUAACUCGGAACGGUCAGAUGAUACUGCUUUGCUAGAGUGCGGAAGGGGCAAUCGGAAUUCUUGGUGUAGCGGUGAAAUGCGUAGAUAUCAAGAGGAACACCUGAGGUGAAGACGGGUUGCUGGGCCGACACUGACGCUGAGUGCGCGAAAGCCAGGGGAGCAAACGGG
rnacentral:rRNA from 1 species